UGCCCCGCUGCAGUGAUGUGUGACAAGGAGUUCAUGUGGGCCCUGAAAAACGGAGACUUGGAUGAGGUGAAAGACUGUGGCCAAGGGAGAUGAUGUCAACCGGACACUAGAAGGUGGAAGGAAGCCUCUUCAUUACGCAGCAGACUGUGGGCAGCUUGAAAUUCUAGAAUUUCUGCUGCUAAAAGGAGCAGAUAUUAAUGCUCCAGAUAAACAUCAUAUUACUCCUCUGCUGUCUGCUGUCUAUGAGGGUCAUGUUUCUUGUGUGAAAUUGCUUCUGUCAAAAGGUGCUGAUAAGACUGUGAAAGGCCCAGAUGGACUGACCGCCUUUGAAGCCACUGACAACCAGGCAAUCAAAGCUCUUCUCCAGUGAUGGAUGGACGGACUGAUAACUUGGGAAGAAUGACUCUUCUGUGGCCUCACACUGCUCCCUGUCUGUCUGUCACUCUCUUAUCUGCCAGCUUCUUCAGCUAAAUACUUUAAGAGGGGUGAGGGGAGAGAGAAAUUCAUAACAAAUCAGUCUACCAGGAAAAAAACAAAACAAAA